rnacentral:rRNA from 1 species
UACGUAGGGUGCGAGCGUUAAUCGGAAUUACUGGGCGUAAAGCGCACGUAGGCGGAUAUUUAAGUCAGGGGUGAAAUCCCAGAGCUCAACUCUGGAACUGCCUUUGAUACUGGGUAUCUUGAGUAUGGAAGAGGUGAGUGGAAUUCCGAGUGUAGAGGUGAAAUUCGUAGAUAUUCGGAGGAACACCAGUGGCGAAGGCGGCUCACUGGUCCAUUACUGACGCUGAGGUGCGAAAGCGUGGGGAGCAAACAGG